rnacentral:rRNA from 1 species
UAGGGAAUCUUCGGCAAUGGACGAAAGUCUGACCGAGCAACGCCGCGUGAGUGAAGAAGGCUUUCGGAUCGUAAAACUCUGUUUUUAGAGAAGAACAAGGACGUUAUUAACUGAACGUCCCCUGACGGUAUCUAACCAGAAAGCCACGGCUAACUACGUACCAUCAGCCGCGUUAAUACGUAGGUGGCAAGCGAUGUCUGCAUUUAUUGGGUGUAAAGCGAGCGCAGGCGGUUUCUUAAGUCUGAUGUGAAAGGCCGCGGCGCAACCGGGGAGGGUCAUUGGAAACUGGGAGACUUGAGUGCAGAAGAGGGAAGAGGAAUUCCAGGUGUAGCGGUGAAAUGCGUAGAGAUAUGGAGGAACACCAGUGGAGAAGGCGUAUCUCUGGUCUGUAACUGACGAUGAGGCACGAAAGCGUGGGGAGCAAACAGG